UCCAGCAAUGCGAGAUUUCUGUAAAGGAUUUAAACGAGAAAAAAAAAAGGAAAAGUAAGCAGCCUGCAAAGAAAUGUUCAGAAAAUUCCAAGUGGAUGAGGCUUGCAGGAUUUGAUGAGAAUGAAGAUACUGCUGUGGAAAAUUGGCUGAUCAAUAUGAGCUCCAACGAACUUUUGUUUUUGUUAACAGUGUACCUCAUUCUCACGAAUAACUGUAGAAGGUACUGGGAAUGCAACAUCCUGAGAGAAGAAAGGACUGGCUAGAACCGCCCAGGCCCUGGUCCAGUUCCCUUGGAAACAGAAUGUCUUUCAGUGCUUUGUCCAGGGGGUAACUUCACCUUGGAGUAUAAAACCCAGGGUGGGCUGCUUUUGCGGGUCCCUAGCUGAGGUACAAGUGUGGCAUGCACAGACAGGACUACACCUCCCCCAGGCAGCUUUCCCCAGCCUUGGAGGACUAGCUUGCGAUGAAUCCCAGGUGCUGUUGGCCCUUGCUGCCUAUCUGUAAGUAAUAAAUCCACGUACGUGA